rnacentral:misc_RNA from 1 species
GUCAAAGGCAGCAAGGAGAGACUACUG